rnacentral:rRNA from 1 species
GACGAACGCUGGCGGCGUGCUUAACACAUGCAAGUCGAACGGAAAGGCCCUGCUUUUGUGGGGUGCUCGAGUGGCGAACGGGUGAGUAACACGUGAGUAACCUGCCCUUGACUUUGGGAUAACUUCAGGAAACUGGGGCUAAUACCGGAUAGGAGCUCCUGCUGCAUGGUGGGGGUUGGAAAGUUUCGGCGGUUGGGGAUGGACUCGCGGAUUAUCAGCUUGUUGGUGGGGUAGUGGCUUACCAAGGCUUUGACGGGUAGCCGGCCUGAGAGGGUGACCGGGCACAUUGGGACUGAGAUACGGCCCAGACUCGUACGGGAGGCAGCAGUGGGGAAUAUUACACAAUGGGCGGAAGCCUGAUGCAGCGACGCCGCGUGCGGGAUGACGGCCUUCGGGUUGUAAACCGCUUUCGCCUGUGACGAAGCGUGGGUGACGGUAAUGGAUAAAGAAGCACCGGCUAACUACGUG